rnacentral:rRNA from 1 species
ACGAAGGGACCUAGCGUAGUUCGGAAUUACUUGGCUUAAAGAGUUCGUAGGUGGUUGAAAAAGUUGGUGGUGAAAUCCCAGAACUUAACUCUGGAACUGCCAUCGAAACUUUUCAGCUAGAGUAUGAUAGAGGAAAGCAGAAUUUCUAGUGUAGAGGUGAAAUUCGUAGAUAUUAGAAAGAAUACCAAUUGCGAAGGCAGCUUUCUGGAUCAUUACUGACACUGAGGAACGAAAGCAUGGGUAGCGAAGAGGAUUAGAUACCCUCGUAGUCCAUGCCGUAAACGAUGUGUGUUAGACGUUGGAAAUUUAUUUUCAGUGUCGCAGGGAAACCGAUAAACACACCGCCUGGGGAGUACGACCGCAAGGUUAAAACUCAAAUGAAUUGACGGGGACCCGCACAAGUAGUGGAGCAUGUGGUUUAAUUCGAAGAUACGCGCAGAACCUUACCAACACUUGACAUGUUCGUCGCGACUCUAAGAGAUUAGAGUUUUCGGUUCGGCCGGACGAAACACAGGUGCUGCAUGGCUGUCGUCAGCUCGUGUCGUGAGAUGUUGGGUUAAGUCCCGCAACGAGCGCUACCCUCACUUUUAGUUGCCAUCAUUAAGUUGGGCACUCUGAAAGAACUGCCAGUGAUAAGCUGGAGGAAGGUGGGGAUGACGUCAAGUCCUCAUGGCCCUUACGUGUUGGGCUACACACGUGCUACAAUGGCAUCUACAACAGGAAGCAAAACGGCAACGUUAAGCAAAUCCCGAAAAGAUGCCUCAGUUCGGAUUGCACUCUGCAACUCGAGUGCAUGAAGCUGGAAUUACUAGUAAUCGUGGAUCAGCGUGCCACGGUGAAUGCGUUCCCGGGUCUUGUACACACCGCCCGUCACACCAUGGGAGUUGGUUCUACCUUAAGGCAAGGUUUCAAACCCUUGACCACGGUAUAGUCAGCGACUGGGGUGAAGUCG